rnacentral:lncRNA from 13 species
ACUAAGGGUUUAAGGAGAGUUAGCCUGCACUAAGGGUUUAAGGAGAGUUAGCCUGCACUAAGGGUUUAAGGAGAGUUAGCCUGCACUAAGGGUUUGAGGAGAGUUAGCCUGCACUAAGGGUUUAAGGAGAGUUAGCCUGCACUAAGGGUUUGAGGAGAGUUUGGAACUGAAUUCUGUUCUGCUGUUCCAGGGGAAGAGAUCUCCGGGUCAGAGGGCAGUGGAUCAGAAGAGAUGGAUGAAGGAGAUGACGAGGGAAGAGAGGGACGAAUGAAGCGGAGAGGUAAGGGGCCCCCGUUCUCCCUCUCUCUCAACAGGAGUGUGCUAAUAGUACUUUGGCUCCUUAUGAAGUUCACUAGGCUACUUUGAAGGGUACUAGUUCUCUGUGAAGGGCCCUUGGCUUCUGAACUGUACUGGGCUUNNNNNNNNNNACUAAGGGUUUAAGGAGAGUUAGCCUGCACUAAGGGUUUAAGGAGAGUUAGCCUGCACUAAGGGUUUAAGGAGAGUUAGCCUGCACUAAGGGUUUGAGGAGAGUUAGCCUGCACUAAGGGUUUAAGGAGAGUUAGCCUGCACUAAGGGUUUGAGGAGAGUUUGGAACUGAAUUCUGUUCUGCUGUUCCAGGGGAAGAGAUCUCCGGGUCAGAGGGCAGUGGAUCAGAAGAGAUGGAUGAAGGAGAUGACGAGGGAAGAGAGGGACGAAUGAAGCGGAGAGGCAGUGGCAGCAGCAUCAGUAGCUCAGACUCCUCUAUAGAGCCACAGACCACUGAGGAGAAACCCAAGGCUCAGACUAGUGAGUGGGAGCAGCUUGCUGUCUGCACUACCAACCCUACCACCAACUGCUAGUUAAUAUGUUCCAGGGACUGUAUUCACAAAGCAUCUCCGAGUUGAGAGUGCUGAUCUAGGAUCUGUCUUGGCUUUUAGGCCUAUAUCAUAAUGCUUUUAUGGACAAGGGGACCUGCUCCUAGAUCAACGUCUACUCUGAGGAGCCUGUAUACAUCAGGAACAGGCUAACCAACUACCCCUUCUUAAUGUUAAACUCCCCUGCCUGCCCGCCCUGCCAGUCCUAAUGUUAACCUCCCCUGCUUGCAUGCCUCCCCCUGCCAGUCCUAUAGAUAGAAGGUACCCAGCCUGCCAGUCCUAUAGAUAGAAGGUACCCAGCCUGCCAGUCCUAUAGAUAGAAGGUACCCAGCCUGCCCUGCCAGUCCUAUAGAUAGAAGGUACCCAGCCUGCCAGUCCUAUAGAUAGAAGGUACCCAGCAUGCCAGUCCUAUAGAUAGAAGGUACCCAGCCUGCCCUGCCAGUCCUAUAG